rnacentral:rRNA from 1 species
UGCCAUAUCAAAAAGCGGAGGAAAAGAAACUAACAAGGAUUCCCCUAGUAAUGGCGAAUGAAGAGGGAAAAGCCCAAAUUUGUAAUCUGGCUCUUUCAGAGUCCGAGUUGUAAUUUUAAGAACUGUUUUCAGUGCUGGACCAUGUAUAAGUCAGUUGAAAAGCUGCAUCAUAGAAGGUGAUAAUCCUGUUCAUGAUAUGGACUACCAGUGCAAUAUGAUACAGUCUCUAAGAGUCGAGUUGUUUGGGAAUGCAGCUCAAAGUGGGUGGUAAAUUCCAUCUAAGGCUAAAUAUUGAUGAGAGACCGAUAGCAAACAAGUACCGUGAGGGAAAGAUGAAAAGAACUUUGGAAAGAGAGUUAACAGUACGUGAAAUUGUUAAAAGGGAAACAAUUGAAGUUAGACUUGUUAUUAUUAGUUCAACCUUUUUGAAAGGAGUAUUCUAAUGAUUAACAGACCAACAUCAAUUUUUGGGUGUUGGAUAAGGGUUCAAGGAAAUGUAGCAGUCUCUGACUGUGUUAUAGUCCUGAGCUUUGAUACAAUGCUUAAGAUUGAGGAUGCAGUAAGCCUUUUAGGUGGAACAAAUUAUUGUUCUUCUUACUGAGAUGUUGGUGCAAUACUUUAAAUGACCCGUCUUGAAACACGACAA